CCUACGGGAGACAGCAGUGGGGAAUAUUGCACAAUGGGGGAAACCCUGAUGCAGCAACGCCGCGUGAAGGAAGACGGUUUUCGGAUUGUAAACUUCUGUUCUUAGUGAAGAAUAAUGACGGUAGCUAAGGAGCCAGCCACGGCUAACUACGUGCCAGCAGCCGCGGUAAUACGUAGGUGGCAAGCGUUGUCCGGAAUUACUGGGUGGAAAGGGAGCGCAGGCGGGAAGCCAAGUCAGCUGUGAAAACUACGGGCUUAACUUGUAGACUGCAGUUGAAACUGGUUUUCUUGAGUGAAGUAGAGGUUGGCGGAAUUCCGAGUGUAGCGGUGAAAUGCGUAGAUAUUCGGAGGAACACCGGUGACGAAGGCGGCCAACUGGGCUUUAACUGACGCUGAGGCUCGAAAGUGUGGGGAGCAAACAGGAUUAGAUACCCUUGUAGUC
rnacentral:rRNA from 1 species